AGCGAACGCUGGCGGCAGGCUUAACACAUGCAAGUCGAGCGGGCCCUUCGGGGUCAGCGGCGGACGGGUGAGUAACGCGUGGGAACGUGCCUUCUGGUUCGGAAUAACUCAGGGAAACUUGAGCUAAUACCGGAUACGCCCUUUUGGGGAAAGGUUUACUGCCGGAAGAUCGGCCCGCGUCUGAUUAGCUAGUUGGUGGGGUAACGGCCUACCAAGGCGACGAUCAGUAGCUGGUCUGAGAGGAUGAUCAGCCACACUGGGACUGAGACACGGCCCAGACUCCUACGGGAGGCAGCAGUGGGGAAUAUUGGACAAUGGGCGCAAGCCUGAUCCAGCCAUGCCGCGUGAGUGAUGAAGGCCUUAGGGUUGUAAAGCUCUUUUAUCCGGGACGAUAAUGACGGUACCGGAGGAAUAAGCCCCGGCUAACUUCGUGCCAGCAGCCGCCGUAA
rnacentral:rRNA from 1 species